rnacentral:rRNA from 1 species
UACAGAGGGUGCAAGCGUUAAUCGGAAUUACUGGGCGUAAAGCGUGCGCAGGCGGUUUUGUAAGCCAGGUGUGAAAUCCCCGGGCUCAACCUGGGAAUGGCAUUUGGGACUGCAAGGCUGGAGUGCGGCAGAGGAGACUGGGAUUCCUGGUGUAGCAGUGAAAUGCGUAGAUAUCAGGGGGAACACCGAUGGCGAAGGCAGGUCUCUGGGCUGACACUGACGCUCAUGCACGAAAGCGUGGGGAGCAAACAGG